rnacentral:misc_RNA from 1 species
AGCAGGCUCUGUGAGGAUAGAUUCAUGUAUCUCUAAGUGAUCUAUGAUUCUGUUACUCUCGAAAAGAUAGAGAAAACAAUGUAGCGUUACAAGAGAGUGUUAACAUCAAAAAUUUGCGCCGUUACAAGCAUCUGAAACAAAAGCAAUGUACAUCUCUACUGGAUACAAAGCUAAAUCUUAUCAUGAUGCCCGCAACAACACUUGGCAAAUUCGUACAACAAUAUUCAAGGAAAAUUGCUUUCAUCUUCUCUGACAAUAUUGAAGGCGAGGAACAGAUGACAGGAUCAGUCAUAAACUAUAGAUUGCUUAAACGAACUGAGCCAGAUCCUCUCCUCCUUGGACGUCGCCUCUGUCGGAUUCGCCAAAUGCUCAAAAAUAAUAAAAGGCCGGUAAUUGACACUGCUACAGGUACAAGCCAAUGACUGGCAACUAGCACAGGAAUAUCAUGCUCAUCUCCAUAAAGCAUACCCCAGUAACUAUUUCCCGAUGAGUCACCCUUACUUUUCUCAGUAAACUUUGGGCGCCUCAAACUGGAAGUGUCAACAGUAGAAUUCAAACCUCUUCCCAAAUCUAUAACAGAAUAGCCAGGAAGUCUUCUGUUCCUUCCCCUGACGUGUAGAUUGUAUCCUUUAGUUCCCCAUACUUCAAAUCUGGAGUCACUCCUGCAUAUCAAAUCCUUUCUCACAACAGCAGAAUACAAAGAGAAAUUCACAUCAGUUCUUCGAGAAGGUAAUUGGUUGUCAUCUAUGUAAAGCGCAGCAUCUUGUUUAGCAGAAUCAGAAAAGAGCAAUGGAUCUCUAGUGUUCGCACUGCUGAAGUCCAAUAUUUUCUUCAAAAGCCAGUAACAAUUAGUAACCAUAUGGCUGCUAUCCAAACAAUUGGAGUCUCCAUAAACUGCAAUACGACCUUCACCCAUCUCUACAAGGCCAAGAAUUGGAGUGUCUGCCUUGGUCAUGCCAGAAGUCAGCAGUACACUCUGCGUUGCUCCACUCUCUGAGCUAUCCAGGAAAGGGAAACUGUGCACAUACCCACCUCUUGGAAACCUCACAAUGUCAGUUCCAGAUGCAUAUCGACUUUGCUCUCCAUCAAUGGAAAAGUCACCAUUCAGGAUCUUAUCUCCAAAAGCAAUCCCAAAAGGGGCCAAAAGUUCAUUUAGUGCUGGAAUAUUUGCACCUCCAGUAACAGGAGUCCACCAGCUCCGAGUAUUAUCAUCAAAGAAUCUCAUUUUCACCAUUGUAUCCACAUUAUACCAUUCAGCAAACACAGCCAACCCCAAUCCAGUACUAAUAACGUCAUCUCUCAGUUUUUCAAUCUCUUCUUGAAAGUACUCAUCUUCAAGAUCCACUAGCAGAAGUGUCCCAUAUUGACGAGCAUCAAAACACGUGAAAGGAGAACCUAGUGUUUCAACAUAGUAGCCAGCAUCUCGUAACAUGUUGAACAUGAUAUGAAAAUUUGUAUGUAGGUGAUCCCCAUGCCAAUCAAGAAUAUCAUUACGAACAUCCAAAGAGUCUCUAGGAAUAUAUCCGGGAGGAUAUUUGAUGCUGUGAAAUUGGUCCCACAAAACCCGCUUUGACCGUGCCGGAGUAGGAACUACCUUCAAUUUCAGUUGCAGCACACAAGUGCUACUUCGAGGACCCUUUUCGCCUGGCGCAGGAGGACUGUAUAUCGUAGCAGUUACAUUGCCCUCGAUCUCCCCAGAAAACUGUGCGCCUUCUUCCUUAAUUUGCAUGUGUAGUGCUAAAUAACCAGUCCAAGGCCAAAUGACUUCUGAAUAAGUAAAGUGAAUGCUUAGAAGAUUUCCUUCUUCACUCAAGGGAUGCCAUGUUGGUGGACUUUUAACAUAG